AACCUGGUUGAUCCUGCCAGUAGUCAUAUGCUUGUCUAAAAGAUUAAGCCAUGCAAGUCUAAGUAAAAGCAAUUUUUAUUGUGAAGCUGCGGAUAGCUCAUUAUAUCAGUUAUAGUUUAUUUGAUGAUACCCUACUACACGGAUAACUGUAGUAAUUCUAGAGCUAAUACAUGCCCAAUAAUUCACCUUCGGGUGAUUGGACUUAUUAGUAUUCAAAUCGCCUUCUCGCACUUUCGGGUGCGAUAACCGUUUAUUGAUAAUAAUCUCUAGAUCGCGUAUACCUUAGCGGGUAGCGAUGGGUCAUUCAAAUUUCUGCCCUAUCAGCUGGGAUGGUAGUGUAUUGGACUACCAUGGCUAAUACGGGUGACGGAGGAUAGGGUCUGAUUCCGGA
rnacentral:rRNA from 1 species